UCCCGGAGCAACCUGGCGAGACGGCUCAACGGCGCUUGUCGCCAAGCCUGGGGAAAUAUAACGUGAAAGAUGCCAGGGAACCGCCUCCCACCAGUUGCUCAAGGUACACACAGGAUAUCUAGUGAGUCCGAGACCAUCCUGGCCUCGAAAACAAAAAAUAAAUAAAUAAAUAAAGAAAGAAAGAAAGAAAGAAAGAAAAGAAAAAAGAAAACGUUCAACCCACAGCGUUUCCAGAGAAAAUCAACACAAGUCUGUUUUAAAACGCAGAGGAUACCGAGCCAUCCAAACACUUGCCUAAAUUAAGAGAGAGUUCUAGAAGUGAGCAGAGGUAGAGGCCCACCGACCCACUGCACCCCUGCGUGACCUCCCAGGAGUCGCUGGGAUUCUAUGCAAAAUAUAAAGACAAGCGUGGUGUUUACAGGGUGUGGCUCAACUACAGGCGCUCCCACCGGAGGACAAGAGCGAAACAGGACAGACCAGGAUCCCAGGCUUCAUUCCACCGAGUCUCACUAGCGCCUACAGUGGUGCAGACUGAUCCAGAGAGAAACAGCUCGGAGUCAAUCAAAAAACAGUUCUAACAGGGCUUGGUGAGAGGCAGAGAAUAGGCGACAGCCGCCGGGAGUGCGGGGCUGAGACAAACCAACGCUCAGGAAUGGCCACUGAGGGGCAGCGACCUAGCCCACUGGAGACCUGCAGGAAGGGUGUCCCGGAUGGAGGAAACCGCAAGUCCAAAGGCACAGAGAAGCGCAGAGAGCAAGUGGAGGAAGAAGUUACGUGUUGGAAGGCUUUUAGGAAGCCUUAUUGCAUAGGACCCUGUGAACUUUGGGAAAUCUUUGUUUUCAGGUGUGCUUGGGAGCACGUGUAAUUUCAGGCCUUGGUAGGGAGUGGUAAGAGGACAUCUGGAAAGCUAUAUAUAUA
rnacentral:lncRNA from 1 species